CAAGUAUUCUAUCUGACUCGGUCAUCUUGACCGUAUAUAUAUAUAUAUAUAUAUAUAUAUAUAUAUAUAUAUAUAUAUAUAUAUAUAUAUAUAUAUAUAUAUAUAUAUAUAUAUAUAUAUACGAUCAAGAUGACCUAGUCAGAUAGAAUACUUG